rnacentral:rRNA from 1 species
UACGUAGGGUGCAAGCGUUAAUCGGAAUUACUGGGCGUAAAGCGUGCGCAGGCGGUUUUGUAAGUCUGACGUGAAAUCCCCGGGCUCAACCUGGGAAUUGCGUUGGAGACUGCAAGGCUGGAGUCUGGCAGAGGGGGGUAGAAUUCCACGUGUAGCAGUGAAAUGCGUAGAGAUGUGGAGGAAUACCGAUGGCGAAGGCAGCCCCCUGGGACGUCACUGACGCUCAUGCACGAAAGGCGUGGGGAGCAAACAGG